CAAAUUAAUAAAUGGUUUCGAUGGUACUAUUUUUAACGAUACGAUGAUUUGUGGAUUUCCUCGACAUUUAUGUAUUUGCCUAUAACCAAACAUACUUUUACAAAUUGUGACUGGUAUGAAAAAGUUGUCUCAUUGGCACUCAUACCACAUCUUCUUAGCCAAACGACCUAAAUAACCGAGUGACAUUUACUGGCCAACAUUAUGUCGUUAAAAACAGAUACAGCAUCGCCGUUUUUGCUGUGGUUUGUCUGUAUGCCUUUUCUUUUCUUCUUUGUUUACAUUUUUGUUUUAUAGUGAUAAGAAUUAAGAUUUUAACAUCAUUAAAACUCUAUUAUUGACAAAUUAUUUCUGUUUGUUUUUUUAACACAUUGUUAUAGAAUUUUACGCGACUGUUAUACAAACAAGAGGUUUAGCUAGCUAUAAAAUUAGGUUUAAACCACAAUUAUAUAAAUAUGGACUUUCUUUUCCGUUUAGAAUUUUUCUCGGAGUUGGAUAUUUUUGUUAUUUUACUUUUUAUACAAUAUAUCGUGCUCUA
rnacentral:lncRNA from 1 species